AUUGAAUACGGCCGUUCAAUCACUGCUCUUCAUGGACGUUUGGUCAAGGUAUCGGAUCACCUUUAACCAUACGGUCUUGCUGCUUUCUCCAUGUUCCGCCCUCAAUGGGGGCGGUACUACGUAGGGACAGGGGCGGACUGUGAUUUUUCAACUAGGUUUAAAAAAAAAGGACAGCCCUGGUCUUCGACCUGCAUCGAUCAACGCCAGCGUUUGCCAUUAGAGCAAAAUACAUAAAAGGCCUGCCCAAUCCAGAGGAGAAUCAUUUACGGCGCCAGUCAAGACAUCGGAUCUGAACAUAACUUUCCCGCAACUUUCCUGAUUCGAUCAUCUCUCAAAAUGAAUAUGAAGAUCAUCACUACUCUGCUUGUUCUGGGCGUCGUGGUUAAUCACGUGACCUCUGCCCGCUUGGAGCAACACGUUGAUGAGGAAGACGACAUCGGGCUCUUUCUGGAUGAGCAGGCGAUGGACGACGUGCUCAUUGCUAGCUGGUUAUCUAAAGCCGUCAGCGACGCCAGCAGAUGGACCAAAAAGGCUGCCCACGAUGUAGCCGGAGCAGUUAAAAGCGGGUGCGGUGUCGUCAACUCUAUUCCCUUUAACGAUUUGAUGAAACUCAGAGAGAAGGCUCUCCGUGAUCGUGGAGUCAGUGAAGAUCAAGCUGCCGCCCUCUACGGUGGUUAUCAAGCACUCAAGGGUGCUUGCCAACACGUCGGUUAAAAUUGUACCGAAGAAAAUGGACGACUGACAACUAAAACAUUGAACCUAGUCUGCAAUUCUAAUAUUUUAAGCGAUAAGGCUCAAAAUGGUAGAACCCUGUCAUAUAUUGAUUUUAGUGUUGUCACUUUUUCCUUUGUAACUGCCCCUAUUAUGAUGUGAAAAUAUAUUGAGUCGCUUAUAGAGCUCUUCUACCUCAGCCUUUUUCUUCGUAGCAAAAUAAAUUUCGUUCUGAAUAUAUAUUUUAUCUAAUACCUCGAGAUAACUCAACGUACUGUUAAGUCACCCAGUCUGUUUCUAUACCCACUGGCCACCUCCCUUUAAUCUUCUUGUGAAUGGUGGCCAAUCAAGGUGUUCAAAGAUCACAAUCCCGUUUUCAUUUCAAGGAAAAUGAUCUCGCCUCCCCAUCUUUAAAGCGAAAUGUCUAAUUAGGUUAUCAGUAUAUAUUACAGAACCAUUGAAAGUUUUCAUAAUGUUAAAAUAAUCAUAUUCAUAUUUUAGUUUUAUGCAGUGAACUUUAAUGAGCCAACAAUUGUGAGCGGGUCAGACAUUUGGCAUGGGCCACAAUUUCUGAAAAGCUUCAUUCGAGGUAAGCCAGGAAGCCAAAGUUUGAUCCUUAGUUAGAAAAAAAAAAACAAAUAAAUUUUGUGAUAGAUUUUUAUAUAAUAUUCAUGCAGAAAAUGAGAUAAUAUACAUUUCACACUUCCCCUUCUUAUUCUCUUUCUUUUCUUGGUUUUGAAACUUUGAGGGUCUAUGACCCCAAGCGCCUAAUCUGUUCGCCAUUGAUUAUUUACUCUCCAUUAAGAAAAAUGUUGAUCUUUAUUAGCCAUGAAUAAAUUAUAGCAAAAAAUAAA